GAUGAACGCUGGCGGCGUGCCUAAUACAUGCAAGUCGAGCGAACAGACGAGGAGCUUGCUCCUCUGACGUUAGCGGCGGACGGGUGAGUAACACGUGGAUAACCUACCUAUAAGACUGGGAUAACCUCGGGAAACCGGAGCUAAUACCGGAUAAUAUAUUGAACCGCAUGGUUCAAUAGUGAAAGACGGUUUUGCUGUCACUUAUAGAUGGAUCCGCGCCGCAUUAGCUAGUUGGUAAGGUAACGGCUUACCAAGGCAACGAUGCGUAGCCGACCUGAGAGGGUGAUCGGCCACACUGGAACUGAGACACGGUCCAGACUCCUACGGGAGGCAGCAGUAGGGAAUCUUCCGCAAUGGGCGAAAGCCUGACGGAGCAACGCCGCGUGAGUGAUGAAGGUCUUCGGAUCGUAAAACUCUGUUAUUAGGGAAGAACAAAUGUGUAAGUAACUAUGCACGUCUUGACGGUACCUAAUCAGAAAGCCACGGCUAACUACGCG
rnacentral:rRNA from 1 species